CUCUUCCUCUCCAAAUCUCAGGUGGAGCAACAACAAUAGGAGCACCUUGGGUUUAUCUCCAUCUCCAUAUCACUGCAGAUUAAACAGGCUGAAUUAGACUGAGCUCAGUCCAUCCGUGGUGAGAGAAGAUGGGGAGAAUAUGGAAUUGGUCCAACGAGUGUGGGCUUCACAGCGGAUUUUGGGUGGGCCCCACGAUGCUGCUCUGUGUCUAUGGCUUCAGCUCAAUAAUGAGGCUCUCUGAGCCUAUCCUCACAGGCUACCUCAAUGGGUCAUACAAGAACCUUACCACCCAACAGAUCCACAGAUGAUGCAAUCAAUUGCACUCCACACUGCCCUUUCCCACCUGGACAAAAGGAAAACCUACAUGACAAUGCUGUUCAUUGACUACAGCUCAGUGUUCAUCACCAUAGUGCCCACAAAGCUCAUCACUAAGCUAAGGACCCUGGGACUAAACACCUCUCUCUGCAACUGGAUCCUGGACUUCCUGACGGGCUGCCCCCAGGUGGUUCCAGAUAGCCUGAGGCUUCAGCAGGGAACGCUAUGUCCUGGUGUUUGGUGUCAACAGCUUUGCUGUUUCUCAUCAGAGAAGUGUAUAAUCUUAUUCUUUGCAGCCGAUUGGUGGAGCG
ensembl:lncRNA